UACGAAGGGUGCAAGCGUUGCUCGGAAUUAUUGGGCGUAAAGGGUAGGUAGGUGGUUACGUAUGUCUGGGGUGAAAUCCCUGAGCUUAACUCAGGAAGUGCCUUGGAAACGGCGUAACUAGAGUACUAGAGAGGUUCGUGGAAUUCCCGGUGUAGCGGUGAAAUGCGUAGAGAUCGGGAGGAACAUCAGAGGCGAAGGCGGCGAACUGGAUAGUAACUGACACUGAACUACGAAAGCGUGGGUAGCAAAC
rnacentral:rRNA from 1 species